UGGGGAAUUUUGGACAAUGGGCGAAAGCCUGAUCCAGCAAUGCCGCGUGUGUGAAGAAAGCCUUCGGGUUGUAAAGCACUUUUGUCCGGAAAGAAAUCCUUGGCUCUAAUACAGUCGGGGGAUGACGGUACCGGAAGAAUAAGCACCGGCUAACUACGUGCCAGCAGCCGCGGUAAUACGUAGGGUGCAAGCGUUAAUCGGAAUUACUGGGCGUAAAGCGUGCGCAGGCGGUUUGCUAAGACCGAUGUGAAAUCCCCGGGCUCAACCUGGGAACUGCAUUGGUGACUGGCAGGCUAGAGUAUGGCAGAGGGGGGUAGAAUUCCACGUGUAGCAGUGAAAUGCGUAGAGAUGUGGAGGAAUACCGAUGGCGAAGGCAGCCCCCUGGGCCAAUACUGACGCUCAUGCACGAAAGCGUGGGGAGCAAACAGGAUUAGAUACCCUGGUAGUCCACGCCCUAAACGAUGUCAACUAGUUGUUGGGGAUUCAUUUCCUUAGUAACGUAGCUAACGCGUGAAGUUGACCGCCUGGGGAGUACGGUCGCAAGAUUAAAACUUAAAUGAAUUGACGGGGUCAUAGCUGUUUCCU
rnacentral:rRNA from 1 species